rnacentral:pre_miRNA from 1 species
GUAGUACUCCCUCCGUCCGAAAAUACUUGUCAUCAAAAUGGAUAAAAAGAGAUGUAUCUAGAACUAAAAUGCAUCUAGAUACAUCCCCUUUUAUCCAUUUUGAUGACAAGUAUUUUCGGACGGAGGGAGUACUAC